AUUGAACGCUGGCGGCAGGCCUAACACAUGCAAGUCGAACGGCAGCGGGGAGGAGGUUGCUUCUUUCAGGGGGAGAGGGGUGCGUGAGAGCAAUAUAUCUGAACGUGUCGUGAAGAGGGGGUUAACAAACCGGAAGGGUUGCUACAACCGCACAAAUUCUGAGGAAGGGAGAUGGGGGGAUCUGACUAGGUCAAGCGAUUCUAGGGCGGACGAUGUCGGAUUAGCUAGUUGGUGAGGUAAAGGCUCACCAAGGCGACGAUCCGUAGCGGGUCUGAGAGGAUGAUCCGCCACACUGGAACUGAGACACGGUCCAGACUCCUACGGGAGGCAGCAGUGGGGAAUUUUGGACAAUGGGCGCAACCCUGAUCCAGCCAUGCCGCGUGUAUGAAGAAGGCCUUCGGGUUGUAAAGCACUUUUGUUUGGGAAGAAAAGCCGUAUGUUAAUACCGUCCUGUUCUGACGGUACCUAAAGAAUAAGCACCGGCUAACUUCGUG
rnacentral:rRNA from 1 species